rnacentral:rRNA from 1 species
AUUGAACGCUGGCGGCAUGCUUUACACAUGCAAGUCGGACGGCAGCACAGAGAAGCUUGCUUCUUGGGUGGCGAGUGGCGAACGGGUGAGUAACAUAUCGGAACGUACCGAGCAGUGGGGGAUAACUAAUCGAAAGAUUAGCUAAUACCGCAUAUUUUCUGAGGAAGAAAGCAGGGGACCAUUUGGCCUUGCGCUGUUUGAGCGGCCGAUAUCUGAUUAGCUAGUUGGUGGGGUAAAGGCCUACCAAGGCGACGAUCAGUAGCGGGUCUGAGAGGAUGAUCCGCCACACUGGGACUGAGACACGGCCCAGACUCCUACGGGAGGCAGCAGUGGGGAAUUUUGGACAAUGGGCGCAAGCCUGAUCCAGCCAUGCCGCGUGUCUGAAGAAGGCCUUCGGGUUGUAAAGGACUUUUGUCAGGGAAGAAAAGGGCGGGGUUAAUACCCCUGUCUGAUGACGGUACUG